rfam:Schistosoma rodhaini strain Burundi genome assembly, scaffold: SROB_scaffold0007398
AUCCAGCUGACCAGUCCCAAAUAGGACGAAACGCUCAUCCCUGGAU